rnacentral:rRNA from 2 species
GGUUAAGCGACUAAGCGUACACGGUGGAUGCCCUGGCAGUCAGAGGCGAUGAAGGACGUGCUAAUCUGCGAAAAGCGUCGGUAAGGUGAUAUGAACCGUUAUAACCGGCGAUGUCCGAAUGGGGAAACCCAGUGCAAUUCGUUGCACUAUCGUUAACUGAAUACAUAGGUUAACGAGGCGAACCGGGGGAACUGAAACAUCUAAGUACCCCGAGGAAAAGAAAUCAACCGAGAUUCCCCCAGUAGCGGCGAGCGAACGGGGAGCAGCCCAGAGUCUGAAUCAGCUUGUGUGUUAGUGGAACGGUCUGGAAAGUCCGACGGUACAGGGUGAUAGUCCCGUACACCAAAAUGCACAGGUUGUGAACUCGAAGAGUAGGGCGGGACACGUGGUAUCCUGUCUGAAUAUGGGGGGACCAUCCUCCAAGGCUAAAUACUCCUGACUGACCGAUAGUGAACCAGUACCGUGAGGGAAAGGCGAAAAGAACCCCGGCGAGGGGAGUGAAAAAGAACCUGAAACCGUGUACGUACAAGCAGUGGGAGCACCUUCGGGUGUGACUGCGUACCUUUUGUAUAAUGGGUCAGCGACUUAUAUUCUGUAGCAAGGUUAACCGUAUAGGGGAGCCGCAGGGAAACCGAGUCUUAACUGGGCGUUAAGUUGCAGGGUAUAGACCCGAAACCCGGUGAUCUAGCCAUGGGCAGGUUGAAGGUUGGGUAACACUAACUGGAGGACCGAACCGACUAAUGUUGAAAAAUUAGCGGAUGACUUGUGGCUGGGGGUGAAAGGCCAAUCAAACCGGGAGAUAGCUGGUUCUCCCCGAAAGCUAUUUAGGUAGCGCCUCGUGAAUUCAUCUUCGGGGGUAGAGCACUGUUUCGGCUAGGGGGUCAUCCCGACUUACCAACCCGAUGCAAACUACGAAUACCGAAGAAUGUUAUCACGGGAGACACACGGCGGGUGCUAACGUCCGUCGUGAAGAGGGAAACAACCCAGACCGCCAGCUAAGGUCCCAAAGUCAUGGUUAAGUGGGAAACGAUGUGGGAAGGCACAGACAGCCAGGAUGUUGGCUUAGAAGCAGCCAUCAUUUAAAGAAAGCGUAAUAGCUCACUGGUCGAGUCGGCCUGCGCGGAAGAUGUAACGGGGCUAAACCAUGCACCGAAGCUGCGGCAGCGACACUAUGUGUUGUUGGGUAGGGGAGCGUUCUGUAAGCCUGCGAAGGUGACCUGUGAGGGUUGCUGGAGGUAUCAGAAGUGCGAAUGCUGACAUAAGUAACGAUAAAGCGGGUGAAAAGCCCGCUCGCCGGAAGACCAAGGGUUCCUGUCCAACGUUAAUCGGGGCAGGGUGAGUCGACCCCUAAGGCGAGGCCGAAAGGCGUAGUCGAUGGGAAACAGGUUAAUAUUCCUGUACUUGGUGUUACUGCGAAGGGGGGACGGAGAAGGCUAUGUUAGCCGGGCGACGGUUGUCCCGGUUUAAGCAUGUAGGCUGGUUGUCCAGGCAAAUCCGGAUAAUCAAGGCUGAGGUGUGAUGACGAGGCACUACGGUGCUGAAGUAACAAAUGCCCUGCUUCCAGGAAAAGCCUCUAAGCAUCAGGUAACAUCAAAUCGUACCCCAAACCGACACAGGUGGUCAGGUAGAGAAUACCAAGGCGCUUGAGAGAACUCGGGUGAAGGAACUAGGCAAAAUGGUGCCGUAACUUCGGGAGAAGGCACGCUGGUGUGUAGGUGAAGUCCCUGCGGAUGGAGCUGAGACCAGUCGAAGAUACCAGCUGGCUGCAACUGUUUAUUAAAAACACAGCACUGUGCAAACACGAAAGUGGACGUAUACGGUGUGACGCCUGCCCGGUGCCGGAAGGUUAAUUGAUGGGGUUAUCCGUAAGGAGAAGCUCUUGAUCGAAGCCCCGGUAAACGGCGGCCGUAACUAUAACGGUCCUAAGGUAGCGAAAUUCCUUGUCGGGUAAGUUCCGACCUGCACGAAUGGCGUAAUGAUGGCCAGGCUGUCUCCACCCGAGACUCAGUGAAAUUGAACUCGCUGUGAAGAUGCAGUGUACCCGCGGCAAGACGGAAAGACCCCGUGAACCUUUACUAUAGCUUGACACUGAACAUUGAGCCUUGAUGUGUAGGAUAGGUGGGAGGCUUUGAAGCGUGGACGCCAGUCUGCGUGGAGCCAACCUUGAAAUACCACCCUUUAAUGUUUGAUGUUCUAACGUUGGCCCCUGACCGGGGUUGCGGACAGUGUCUGGUGGGUAGUUUGACUGGGGCGGUCUCCUCCCAAAGCGUAACGGAGGAGCACGAAGGUUAGCUAAUCCUGGUCGGACAUCAGGAGGUUAGUGCAAUGGCAUAAGCUAGCUUGACUGCGAGCGUGACGGCGCGAGCAGGUGCGAAAGCAGGUCAUAGUGAUCCGGUGGUUCUGAAUGGAAGGGCCAUCGCUCAACGGAUAAAAGGUACUCCGGGGAUAACAGGCUGAUACCGCCCAAGAGUUCAUAUCGACGGCGGUGUUUGGCACCUCGAUGUCGGCUCAUCACAUCCUGGGGCUGAAGUAGGUCCCAAGGGUAUGGCUGUUCGCCAUUUAAAGUGGUACGCGAGCUGGGUUUAGAACGUCGUGAGACAGUUCGGUCCCUAUCUGCCGUGGGCGCUGGAGAAUUGAGGGGGGCUGCUCCUAGUACGAGAGGACCGGAGUGGACGCAUCACUGGUGUUCGGGUUGUCAUGCCAAUGGCACUGCCCGGUAGCUAAAUGCGGAAGAGAUAAGUGCUGAAAGCAUCUAAGCACGAAACUUGCCCCGAGAUGAGUUCUCCCUGAGACUUUAAGUCUCCUGAAGGAACGUUAAAGACGAUGACGUUGAUAGGCCGGGUGUGUAAGCGCAGCGAUGCGUUGAGCUAACCGGUACUAAUGAACCGUGAGGCUUAACCUU